rnacentral:tRNA from 1 species
AUUUAUAUAAUUUAAAAAAAAUAUUAUAUUUUCAUUAUAAUAAUAAUAAAUUAUUUUUAUUUAUAAAUU